rnacentral:pre_miRNA from 1 species
GUAGCGAGCUCGGGCUCCUAGCAGGGAGCUCGGGUUCUUAGUAGGGAGCCCGGGCUCCUAGCAGGGAGCUCGGGUUCUUAGU